AGGCGUUUAGUUUUAAUCGGCAAAACGUCGGUCUCCAAAACCGAAAUUUUCAGUUCAAAUCUGAACACGCCUGCCA
rnacentral:tRNA from 1 species